CUACGGGAGGCAGCAGUGAGGAAUAUUGCACAAUGGGGGGAACCCUGAUGCAGCAACGCCGCGUGGAGGAUGACGCAUUUCGGUGUGUAAACUCCUUUUAUAUGUCAAGAAAAUGACGGUAGCAUAUGAAUAAGCACCGGCUAACUCCGUGCCAGCAGCCGCGGUAAUAGGAGGGUGCAAGCUGUUACUCGGAAUCACUGGGCGUAAAGGACGCGUAGGCGGGUUGGAAAGUCAGGUGUGAAAUCCUACAGCUUAACUGUAGAACUGCACUUGAAACUUCUAAUCUAGAGUAUGGGAGGGGGAGAUGGAAUUAGUGGUGUAGGGGUAAAAUCCGUAGAUAUCACUAGGAAUACCUAAAGCGAAGGCGAUCUCCUGGAACAUUACUGACGCUAAGGCGUGAAAGCGUGGGGAGCAAACAGGAUUAGAUACCCGAGUAGUC
rnacentral:rRNA from 1 species